CCAGACUCCUACGGGAGGCAGCAGUGGGGAAUAUUGGGCAAUGGGCGCAAGCCUGACUCAGCAACGCCGCGUGAAGGAAGAAGGCUUUCGGGUUGUAAACUUCUUUUCUCAGGGACGAAGAAAGUGACGGUACCUGAGGAAUAAGCCACGGCUAACUACGUGCCAGCAGCCGCGGUAAUACGUAGGUGGCAAGCGUUAUCCGGAUUUAUUGGGUGUAAAGGGCGUGUAGGCGGGAGCGCAAGUCAGAUGUGAAAACUCAGGGCUCAACCCUGAGCCUGCAUUUGAAACUGUGUUUCUUGAGUGCUGGAGAGGCAAUCGGAAUUCCGUGUGUAGCGGUGAAAUGCGUAGAUAUACGGAGGAACACCAGUGGCGAAGGCGGAUUGCUGGACUGCGACUGACGUUGAGGCCCGAAAGCGUGGGGAGCAAACAGGAUUAGAUACCCCCGUAC
rnacentral:rRNA from 1 species